AGUUUGAUCCUGGCUCAGGAUGAACGCUAGCUACAGGCUUAACACAUGCAAGUCGAGGGGCAGCAUUGGAGUAGCAAUACUUCAGAUGGCGACCGGCGCACGGGUGAGUAACACGUAUCCAACCUGCCGCUUACUCGGGGAUAGCCUUUCGAAAGAAAGAUUAAUACCCGAUGGUAUAAAGAGUUCGCAUGUUCUCUUUAUUAAAGAAUUUCGGUAAGCGAUGGGGAUGCGUUCCAUUAGAUAGUUGGCGGGGUAACGGCCCACCAAGUCUACGAUGGAUAGGGGUUCUGAGAGGAAGGUCCCCCACAUUGGAACUGAGACACGGUCCAAAUCCUACGGGAGGCAGCAGUGAGGAAUAUUGGUCAAUGGACGCGAGUCUGAACCAGCCAAGUAGCGUGAAGGAUGACUGCCCUAUGGGUUGUAAACUUCUUUUAUAAGGGAAUAAAGUGAGGGACGUGUCCCUUUUUGUAUGUACCUUAUGAAUAAGGAUCGGCUAACUCCGUGCCAGCAGCCGCGGUAAUACGGAGGAUCCAAGCGUUAUCCGGAUUUAUUGGGUUUAAAGGGAGCGUAGGUUGACAUAUAAGUCAGCUGUGAAAGUUUACGGCUCAACCGUGAAAUUGCAGUUGAUACUGUAUGUCUUGAGUGUACAAGAGGUGGGCGGAAUUCGUGGUGUAGCGGUGAAAUGCUUAGAUAUCACGAAGAACUCCAAUUGCGAAGGCAGCUCACUGGGGUACAACUGACACUGAGGCUCGAAAGUGUGGGUAUCAAACAGGAUUAGAUACCCUGGUAGUCCACACAGUAAACGAUGAAUACUCGCUGUUUGCGAUAUACAGUAAGCGGCCAAGCGAAAGCAUUAAGUAUUCCACCUGGGGAGUACGCCGGCAACGGUGAAACUCAAAGGAAUUGACGGGGGCCCGCACAAGCGGAGGAACAUGUGGUUUAAUUCGAUGAUACGCGAGGAACCUUACCCGGGCUUGAAUUGCAGAGGAACAUAGUUGAAAGAUUAUGGCCGCAAGGUCUCUGUGAAGGUGCUGCAUGGUUGUCGUCAGCUCGUGCCGUGAGGUGUCGGCUUAAGUGCCAUAACGAGCGCAACCCUUAUCAUUAGUUACUAACAGGUCAUGCUGAGGACUCUAGUGAGACUGCCGUCGUAAGAUGUGAGGAANGUGGA
rnacentral:rRNA from 1 species